GAUGAACGCUGGCGGCGUGCUUAACACAUGCAAGUCGAACGGAAAGGCUCCUGCUUGCAGGGGUACUCGAGUGGCGAACGGGUGAGUAACACGUGGGUGAUCUGCCCUGCACUUCGGGAUAAGCCUGGGAAACUGGGUCUAAUACCGGAUAGGACGAUGGUUUGGAUGCCAUUGUGGAAAGUUUUUUCGGUGUGGGAUGAGCUCGCGGCCUAUCAGCUUGUUGGUGGGGUAAUGGCCUACCAAGGCGUCGACGGGUAGCCGGCCUGAGAGGGUGUACGGCCACAUUGGGACUGAGAUACGGCCCAGACUCCUACGGGAGGCAGCAGUGGGGAAUAUUGCACAAUGGGCGCAAGCCUGAUGCAGCGACGCCGCGUGGGGGAUGACGGCCCUCGGGUUGUAAACUCCUUUCGCUAGGGACGAAGCGCAAGUGACGGUACCUGGAGAAGAAGCACCGGCUAACUACGUG
rnacentral:rRNA from 1 species